GCAUAUCAAUAAGCGGAGGAAAAGAAACUAACAAGGAUUCCCCUAGUAACUGCGAGUGAAGCGGGAAAAGCUCAAAUUUGAAAUCUGACAGUGUAACUGCUGUUCGAGUUGUAAUUUCAAGAAGUGUUUUCUGUGCCAGACCGUGUACAAGUCUCCUGGAAUGGGGCGUCAUAGAGGGUGAGAAUCCCGUCUUUGACACGGACUUCAUAUGGUGCUCUGUGAUACACUCUCAAAGAGUCGAGUUGUUUGGGAAUGCAGCUCAAAAUGGGUGGUGAACUCCAUCUAAAGCUAAAUAUUGGCGAGAGACCGAUAGCGAACAAGUACCGUGAGGGAAAGAUGAAAAGCACUUUGGAAAGAGAGUGAAACAGUACGUGAAAUUGCUGAAAGGGAAACGAUUGAAGUCAGUCACAUUUGCUUGAAUUCAGCUACCCUUGUUGGUGGUGUAUUUUCAUUGUGAAUGGGUCAGCAUCACUUUUGGCUGCUGGACAAGGGCAGGAGAAAUGUGGCACUCUUUUUUAAGGAGUGUGUUAUAGUCUUCUGUCAUAUACAGUGGCUAGGAGUGAGGAACACCUUUGUAGGAUGCUGGCAUAAUGGCUUUAAACGACCCGUCUUGAAACACGGACCAAGGAGUCUAACAUGCAUGCGAGUGUUUGGGUGGUUAAAACUCAUGCGCGCAAUGAAAGUGAACAGUUGGGACGGCUGUCAUGGCCUGCACCGAUGCCUGGACUUGAGAUUUAUCGACGGUUCUACGGUCGAGCAUGUAUGUUAGGACCCGAAAGAUGGUGAACUAUGCCUGAAUAGGGUGAAGCCAGAGGAAACUCUGGUGGAGGCUCGUAGCGAUUCUGACGUGCAAAUCGAUCGUCAAAUUUGGGUAUAGGGGCGAAAGACUAAUCGAACCAUCUAGUAGCUGGUUCCUGCCGA
rnacentral:rRNA from 1 species